UACGGGGGGAGCAAGCGUUGUUCGGAUUUACUGGGCGUAAAGGGCGCGUAGGCGGCGCGGUAAGUCACUUGUGAAAUCUCUGAGCUUAACUCAGAACGGCCAAGUGAUACUGCAGUGCUAGAGUGUGGAAGGGGCAAUCGGAAUUCUUGGUGUAGCGGUGAAAUGCGUAGAUAUCGAGAGGAACACCUGCGGCGAAGGCGGGUAGCUGGGCCGACACUGACGCUGAGGCGCGAAAGCCAGGGGAGCGAACGGG
rnacentral:rRNA from 1 species